rnacentral:rRNA from 1 species
GAUGAACGCUGGCGGCGUGCCUAAUACAUGCAAGUCGAGCGAACGGACGAGAAGCUUGCUUCUCUGAUGUUAACGGCGGACGGGUGAGUAACACGUGGAUAACCUACCUAUAAGACUGGGAUAACUUCGGGAAACCGGAGCUAAUACCGGAUAAUAUUUUGAACCGCAUGGUUCAAAAGUGAAAGACGGUCUUGCUGUCACUUAUAGAUGGAUCCGCGCUGCAUUAGCUAGUUGGUAAGGUAACGGCUUACCAAGGCAACGAUGCAUAGCCGACCUGAGAGGGUGAUCGGCCACACUGGAACUGAGACACGGUCCAGACUCCUACGGGAGGCAGCAGUAGGGAAUCUUCCGCAAUGGGCGAAAGCCUGACGGAGCAACGCCGCGUGAGUGAUGAAGGUCUUCGGAUCGUAAAACUCUGCUAUUAGGGAAGAACAUAUGUGUAAGUAACUGUGCACAUCUUGACGGUACCUAAUCAGAAAGCCACGGCUAACUACGUG